UGCAAGUCGAACGAUGAUGCCCAGCUUGCUGGGCGGAUUAGUGGCGAACGGGUGAGUAAUACGUGAGUAACCUGCCCUUGACUCUGGGAUAAGCCUGGGAAACUGGGUCUAAUACUGGAUACUACCUCUUACCGCAUGGUGGGUGGUGGAAAGGGUUUUACUGGUUUUGGAUGGGCUCACGGCCUAUCAGCUUGUUGGUGGGGUAAUGGCUCACCAAGGCGACGACGGGUAGCCGGCCUGAGAGGGUGACCGGCCACACUGGGACUGAGACACGGCCCAGACUCCUACGGGAGGCAGCAGUGGGGAAUAUUGCACAAUGGGCGGAAGCCUGAUGCAGCGACGCCGCGUGAGGGAUGACGGCCUUCGGGUUGUAAACCUCUUUCAGUAGGGAAGAAGCGAGAGUGACGGUACCUGCAGAAGAAGCGCCGGCUAACUACGUGCCAGCAGCCGCGGUAAUACGUAGGGCGCAAGCGUUGUCCGGAAUUAUUGGGCGUAAAGAGCUCGUAGGCGGUUUGUCGCGUCUGCUGUGAAAGCCCGGGGCUCAACCCCGGGUCUGCAGUGGGUACGGGCAGACUAGAGUGCAGUAGGGGAGACUGGAAUUCCUGGUGUAGCGGUGAAAUGCGCAGAUAUCA
rnacentral:rRNA from 1 species